AAGCAAGUUAUGCAGGCAACUGAAAAAACUUCAUUGAUAAAAUAAUUAUUAAAAGUCAAAUACAAAUUAUGCAAAAUAAAACGUUUUGAGAAAUGCCUUCUUUCCUCUCAUUUCUCCCUACGAAUUGACAAUGGCACCUGCAUUAUCUGCGAAAGAGAACCAAUUUGAAUUAGAUACACAUUGAUGGAGAAAAACUUAGAGAGCUAGGUAGUUCAUACAGAACUAAGUUCACUGAACUUCCUCAUGAAUCAUCCAAUUUGACCAAACCGCAAGUUAAUUUUCAUAUAUUUAACAUCCCAGAAAAAAUGGGGUUGCAUCACAUUAGACCAACUACUGGGGGAAAAUGGAAAAAAGGAUUUUGAUUACACCUGUUUCUAGUGAAGAAUCAGUUGUUUCAUUAUUAGAACCUCAUCUCAGUUGUUAUAGACCAAUAUAUUGCAUCCGGUAGCUGCCAUGACACAUACUGAUUCUUCACCAAUUAUCUUUCUCUUUACGUUUUAUUUUGUUACAGAACCAAAUAGCUGGAUAUCUGCAGGAUUAAAAAAACUCCUGCAAGAAAAGGGUGGAAGUAUCAAUGCUCAAAAAGGACACUUUCCAGCCACAUGUCACUUCCAACUCAUACAAUACAAAUGCAGAAACAUUGGAAGCCAGAGGAAGUCACUAGUUUAAGUGCAAUCAGAAAAUCACCGCCAAGAAACAUGCAUACAAGUAUCGGCCACAUGGGUGAACAAGGAACGGAGUUUAAGGAAAACAAAAAUUUAUAAUUGUGUCAAAAUGUUAAAAUUAUUAUGAGAAACCUUAUAUGCUUUGCUUCUGCCACUUGACCCUUAAAAAUCACCCAAACAACAACAAAAAAGAGAGCAAAACACAAUUUGAGUUAAGAAUAAAGGAGGCUCAGAUUCGCCUUUUCUCAGACAGGAGAGGGAAUGGCUAGUGCACAGGCUGCGUCAACAGCAUCUGUGCAAGAACCAGAAGGUAAAUUCCACACAGAUACCGAGUCACCUAGCCAGGACACAGCUCUUCGCUCAUAUCUGGUCUAAUUGCUGAAAACAUAAUCAUUGCCUCGUUAUAGCCAGAAGAAGAAGAAGAAGAAGAACCUGAAUCCAAAAAGAUGCAGAAAGAAAGAGAUGUUUGUGUGUUGUGUGUAUAUGGAGAGCUGUUUGGUAAAUUCAAUUAUAAUGAUCAUUGGCUUACACAGCAACUUAGAGAGGGCAACAGCUAUCAAGACAACCUUCUCUCAAAGAGCGGAGCCUCAUACUUAAACUAAUGACUAAUGAGUACAACCCUAAUUGCAGGGUUUCAGAAAAAAGGCUCAGAUUCAUCUUUACAGAGGAAAGAGACAGAUGGGAGGAGCUCACCCUGGCUGCAUCAUCAGCAUUUGUAUAAAAAGGUCAUGCUUGUCUUCUCAAACAGACACUGAAUUACCUUGCCAGGACUCAAGCUCUUACUAAUGUCCAUUUUCUGAUCUAAAUGAUGAAAACAACAUCACUGCCUCCCUUCUGACCAUUGUCCAGAACAAACAGAAAGUGAGUCAAACAUAAUCUUCCACUGGGUUCUAUAACUGAGGAUGCAACUUCACUUGAAAAUAACGGGAACAAAAACUGGUAUGCAAUUCAAGGCUCAAAAAUGCACAAAAAGAAAAAGCAUGAAAUGGAUAACUGCAUUAAGAGAAUUGAUGAAAAUGUCAUGAGCCCAGGCUUGCAAAGAACAAACCAGAGCCAUGCCUCCUCAGAAAAUUGACUGUCCAAAAACCUCAUCCCUCUCCCAAAUUAGACCAAUGGCGGUUCUAACCAGGGUUCUUAGAAAUAAGUUGUUCUUAUGGGUUUCCACCAUUGGAGCUUGCGACAUGGCUGCCAAUUGUAGAACCAGUUCUGACAGGCUCUAUUUAAAUUUGAUUUUGUUUUUAAACUAAAAUUAUAG
rnacentral:lncRNA from 1 species